UGGCUCAGUGGUAGAGUGCUUGCCUUACAUGCAUGAGGACCUGGGUUCAAUUCCUCAG
rnacentral:tRNA from 1 species